rnacentral:ncRNA from 1 species
CGGGAGGUUACAUUUGCCGGCAGCCGACCAGACUUUGGGUUCGGCCUGAGUCUUGGAUUCCUGUUGACUGGUCACGGUUCCCUCAAUGCAUUCUUGCAUUCGAGGAACCUUUAUGACAGUCCAGAAUGCCGUUGUGGCUCGGCUGCUGAGACAUGGGAGCAUGUUCUCUGUGAGUGCACAAGGUAUGCAGAUUUUCGAGAUCUGAGGGGGAUGGGUAUAAGUGAGGUUAGUGGCGGGUUUGACGUAAGUCAAUCACUCUCCACUAGUGAUAGGGUUAGAAGAAUGAGUGAGUUUGCUAGAGCUGCAUUUUCCAGGCGACGUUUGCAAUUGCAGGAAGGAAUUGUAUGAAUGAUGAUGGAUGGUAGAUGUGAGAAUGUGGGGGUACGAAUGUGGGGGUGUUUCUGAAUGGUAAUUUUUGUUGAACAUUGUGUUGUGAUGGGGCUACCAACCCUUAACUGUUUGGAGUUUAAAUUGGAAGUGCCCUUCUGGUACGAGGCCUGACCGGAGGCUUUUAAUCUGGUACCACGGGUAACCAGGAGCCCACGGAACUUGUUCCGUCCUGGUUAGUUGGUGCGGCCCUUCGGGGAGUAUCGUGGUGGUUGUGGUUUAACACCCAAAUGCGGGUAGAGCAUCGCUCGACGUGGAGUUGCGUCAUACAACUGGGUUCCGUGACCCAGAUUACGGAAGAGGCUUAGAUAGUCCUCGUGCCAAACCAAGGUAGAAGUCACAACCAAACAGUCGUGUCUUUAAUUGGUACCUGCGGAAUUGUUCCAAGGGGGCGGUGAUUGACGCUUGAAUUAAUCCUAUACUAGGAACCGUGAGAUUAAGCCAUCGCGGCAGGUGCUCACGUUAAGCCCACUGACUUUCAUGUCCCUAUCUACUAUCUAGCGAAACCACAGCCAAGGGAACGGGCUUGGAAUAAUUAGCGGGGAAAGAAGACCCUUUUGAGCUUGACUCUAAUCUGGCAGUGUAAGGAGACAUAAGAGGUGUAGAAUAAGUGGGAGAUAUUAGACUUCGGUUUGGUAUCGACAAUGAAAUACCACUACUCUUAUUGUUUCCUUACUUACUUGAUUAAAUGGAACGUGUAUCAUUUCCUAGCCAUUAUACGGAUAUAAUUAUUAUGUCUUAUGGUAUUGGGUUUUGAUGCAAGCUUCUUGAUCAAAGUAUCACGAGUUUGUUAUAUAAUCGCAAACAAAUUCUUUAAUGAGAGAAUGCAUUUAUGUAUUAUU